GACCUUACCGGGGAGUUAGCUAAGCUGCCGGGGAGAGAGCUGAGGUUAGGGGAGAGCUAGCUAACUUACUGACCUUACCGGGGAGUUAGCUAAGCUGCCGGGGAGAGAGCUGAGGUUAGGGGAGAGCUAGCUAACUUUAGCAGUGGGCUAGCUAACAUGCUAACAUACAAUAGCGGCGAGCUAGCUACCUGGAAGGUCUAAAUCAGGGGUCUCAAAGUACCGGCCCGCGACGCGGUUUCAUACGGCCCCUCACGGGUUAACAAAAUAAACAUACAUCUGGCCCGCAAUCCAAUUUAAUUAUUUAUGCUUUAUUAUGUUCGUUUUCAUAUUUUAUCUUAACUUGUAUUUUGGUGUGUGUGUGUGGUUUUUGUUUUUUUGCUUACGCUGCGUUGCCUGCUUUAAUAGUCUCCAGUAGCCUUCAACAGUCUAACCUUGCAGCCGUGGUGUGUCCACUAAACUCCGUAGUUAUAAACAUCCUGAGGUUAGCAGCGCGCUAACUGACCUGUUUAUAAUGUAAUCCCAGCAGUAACUCCGUGACGCUGCUCUAAACUGCUGCUGUUAGCUGCUUGGGCUGAAAGAUGAACUGUAGAGAGCUGUAUUAUCCGGUUAGUGGGGUUAUUUUAUUUCAUACACAGAAGAACUUAAAAAUUUUAAAAACGCUCCAGACUGGCUCAGCUGAGUCCUGUAGCCCGUGGCUGGGCUGCAGCUCUGAUUCAGUAAAGACUGCGGGCUUGUGGUGCUGCUGCUGCAGCUCCGACUAGUGGUUGGAUGAGGAACUGCUAAA